AUUGGAUCCUGCUGCUUGGGAGGAGGGCGCCCUGCCAGCAUGGAUAAGGCAGAUCAAAGGGUAAGAGUCUUUGGAUCUGUUGCCGUUUGAAGAACGUGAAGAGGGGCAUCAAAAAUCAUGGUGAAUUUAAAGAGCAAGGCUUACUACAGACACCUGGGAAGCAGUUCUCAAGGGACACUCUGGAUUCCAGAUCUCAAGUCUGCAAGAUUGUCCUUGGUCUACAGGACACUUGCUAAGAAACCUGUAAAAAGAUAAGAAGUAGGCGUGCCAGCACUCGGGAGGCAGAGGCAGGCGG
rnacentral:lncRNA from 1 species